GGCGUGAUAGCUCAGUUGGGAGAGCAGCAGACUGAAGAUUAGAGGUUUCUGAAGGUCCCGCGUUCAAUCCGCGGUCAUGCCA
rfam:Schizophyllum commune H4-8 unplaced genomic scaffold SCHCOscaffold_12, whole genome shotgun sequence.